AGGGAAUAUUGGUCAAUGGAUGCAAGUCUGAACCAGCCAUGCCGCGUGCAGGAAGAAGGCCUUAUGGGUUGUAAACUGCUUUUGUCAGGGGAUAAAAUGGGAGUGCGCUCCUAAUUGAAGGUACCUGGCGAAUAAGCCACGGCUAACUACGUGCCAGCAGCCGCGGUAACACGUAGGGGGCGAGCGUUGUCCGGAUUUAUUGGGCGUAAAGAGCUCGUAGGCGGCUCGGUAAGUGAGGUGUGAAAACUCCAGGCUCAACCUGGAGACGCCACCUCAUACUGCCGUGGCUAGAGUCCGGUAGGGGAGCAUGGAAUUCCUGGUGUAGCGGUGAAAUGCGCAGAUAUCAGGAGGAACACCAGUGGCGAAGGCGGUGCUCUGGGCCGGAACUGACGCUGAGGAGCGAAAGCGUGGGGAGCAAA
rnacentral:rRNA from 1 species